GCACUAUCUGCCCUUUUGUUAAAACCUGGCAUUGCCUGCUUACCUAGACCUGGGGUGCCUAUUUCUACUAUAGAGAAAACACACUCCUUGAUGAGCCCCUUGCCUUGGAUUACUGCAGAGAAAGGACAAGAGAUUUCAGGCCUGGAAACCCUCUGUGAGGCCCCACUGAAUCUGUCUUCAGUUAGGACAGGUGGUCUUCACUGAUUGGGUUUCCUGGACAUGGACCCCGUGAUGAAGAACUGAUGCAUAGGCUGUUUGAAAGGAGCACAGUGAGCCCCAUGAGGUGGCAGUCGAAGAUUCAGCAUCUCUACAGGGUACUCUUUAGCUGGAGGCUUUUCAGGGCAUCCUAAAUUAAGGCUACAGAGGGGAUAUUGUGUGAGCAGGCAUGAACACAGCAUGACUGUCAUUGUGUGUCUCUGUGAGAACUCUCAGGUAAUCAGGCACAUUAUCUGUGAGUUGUACUAUUUUAAACAAGCAUCGGUCUCAACAUGGGGCUUAAGAUGUAAGCCACAUGAUGCAAGGAGCCACACUGCUAUAACUGUGAAAGGUCCAGUUCCACUGCUCCCUGAAGAAGAAAAGAAAAGACAUAAUGAUGGGAGAAAGAAUCAAUUAUAUUAUCAACAUGCCAGCAAGCUGGAAGAAGAGGCUCCUGCCCUGAAAAAGUCAUCUUGCUUACGGGGUGCAAGCACAAGGCUUGUACAGGGAUUUUUGGGGGAGGCAUGACAGGAGACAGCACUCUCUAGAGCCUUGAGGAGAGACCAAUGUCCUGGCUGCAAGAGCUCAAUGAGAGGCCAUGGGAUGUUGGAUAAAAACAGGACUCUGGGCCCAGAAGACUUCAGUUCUGCUGCUGGAGGCCACUUUGUAGCUCUGUCCUCAGGCACAUUCCUCCCUUUCUCCAUGCCUCAGCUUCCCCGCCUGUGAUAAGAAUGACACUGGCAUCUGAGUAAAGUUAUGAUGAAAUUAUUUAUUACAUGGGAA